UGGCGGACGGGUGAGUAACGCGUGGGUAACCUGCCUUACACAGGGGGAUAACACCUGGAAACAGGUGCUAAUACCGCUAUAAGCGCACAGGGCCGCAUGGCCCGGUGUGAAAAACUCUGGUGGUGUAAGAUGGACCCGCGUCUGAUUAGCUUGUUGGCGGGGUAGGGGCCCACCAAGGCGACGAUCAGUAGCCGGCCUGAGAGGGUGGACGGCCACAUUGGGACUGAGACACGGCCCAAACUCCUACGGGAGGCAGCAG
rnacentral:rRNA from 1 species